rnacentral:rRNA from 1 species
GACGAACGCUGGCGGCGUGCUUAACACAUGCAAGUCGAACGGUGAAGGGGUCUGCUUUUGUGGGCCCUGGAUGAGUGGCGAACGGGUGAGUAACACGUGAGUAACCUGCCCCCUUCUUCUGGAUAACCGCAUGAAAGUGUGGCUAAUACGGGAUAUUCUGGGUCUGUCGCAUGAUGGGUCUGGGAAAGAUUGCGCCUUUGGGUGUUUUUGGUGGGGGAUGGGCUCGCGGCCUAUCAGCUUGUUGGUGGGGUGAUGGCCUACCAAGGCGGUGACGGGUAGCCGGCCUGAGGGGGUGGACGGUCACACUGGGACUGAGACACGGCCCAGACUCCUACGGGAGGCAGCAGUGGGGAAUAUUGCACAAUGGGCGCAAGCCUGAUGCAGCGACGCCGCGUGAGGGAUGGAGGCCUUCGGGUUGUAAACCUCUUUCGCCAGUGAAGCAGGCCUGCUCCUUGUGGGUGGGUUGACGGUAGCUGGAUAAGAAGCGCCGGCUAACUACGUG